AUUGAACGCUGGCGGCAGGCCUAACACAUGCAAGUCGAGCGGAUGAAGGGUGCUUGCUCCUGGAUUCAGCGGCGGACGGGUGAGUAAUGCCUAGGAAUCUGCCUGGUAGUGGGGUAUAACGUCCGGAAACGGGCGCUAAUACCGCAUACGUCCUGCGGGAGAAAGUGGGGGAUCUUCGGACCUCACGCUAUCAGAUGAGCCUAGGUCGGAUUAGCUAGUUGGUGGGGUAAAGGCCUACCAAGGCGACGAUCCGUAACUGGACUGAGAGGAUGAUCAGUCACACUGGAACGGAGACAGGGUCCAGACGACUACGGGAGGCAGCAGUGGGGAAUAUUGGACAAUGGGCGAGAGCCUGGUCCAGCCAGGCCGCGUGUGUGAAGAAGGUCUUCGGAUUGUAAAGCACUUUAAGUUGGGAGGAAGGGCAGUAAGUUAAUACCUUGCUGUUUUGACGUUACCAACAGAAUAAGCACCGGCUAACUUCGUG
rnacentral:rRNA from 1 species